UACGUAGGGUGCGAGCGUUGUCCGGAAUUAUUGGGCGUAAAGGGCUCGUAGGCGGUUUGUCGCGUCGGGAGUGAAAACACACAGCUUAACUGUGUGCUUGCUUUCGAUACGGGCAGACUAGAGGUAUGCAGGGGAGAACGGAAUUCCUGGUGUAGCGGUGAAAUGCGCAGAUAUCAGGAGGAACACCGGUGGCGAAGGCGGUUCUCUGGGCAUUACCUGACGCUGAGGAGCGAAAGUGUGGGGAGCGAACAGG
rnacentral:rRNA from 1 species